ensembl:lncRNA
AGUCCAUUGUCACAUUCAACUGAGGCAUUUCCUAUUCUGUGUUUUCCAGAGCUUUGUCUGUUCAAAUCUGCAUUUUAUAAGUGGAUUGAUUGCUCCUGCUUGCAGGCAAGUUGCUUGUGCUGUGGAGCAGGCAUUUGGUGAAAUCGCCAGCAUUCAGAAAGGAUUUUCUUGCAAUGUAGCAGGUACAGAACAGGGAAGUGAGAAUACAAGAAUACAGACUCAAUGGAUGUGGUGAAUACUGCAGUCAGCGUGCAUUUUUGUGGAGGGACUGGGGCUUCAGGUUGGGUUGAGGCCAUGUUGUACACGUCUGGGAGAACCAGCAGUGGGAUAUCCAGGAAUUGGAGCAUGAAGCAAAUAGAGAGUUUUCUCCUGUAAAGAUCCUGAGUGCAUCAAGGACUUGGAAGCCCCUUCGUCUCUCCUGGGAUGGUCUUGGCUUCUUGUGGUCAAGGCUAGCUCUGACACGGUGAAGCUCUGGAGCACUGAACAAGACUGCUGUGAAAAGAGCAGUGGGAGAAGGGGCUGCAAGGAGCCUCCUUGGGACCUUCUCUCUUUUGGCUAAGAAGCUGCAUGUAAACUCAAGCCCUUGUCUUUGGGUGAUUUCUGCCCAUAUCUGGCAAUAUCCCUGCUAAUCCAGACCCCCAGCUGGCUCCUUGGCUUAGCCCUGGGCCUACCUUGUCACCGUGAACUUGUCUGAUGGUCACUGGACAGGUAAUGGUCACUGGACAGGUAAUGGCCACCAACACCACUGGCUCUGCGCACACAUUCACUGCGGAGCAGAAAGCUCCUGAUUCUAACCUGCUGCUACCUACAGCCACAGAAGCAGAACAAAUACACGAAAACCAACAGAAGCUUUAGUUUUACUACUUAGGAUGUGUAUGGGAGCUGUUGAAUCACAGCCUGAACCACUGAUUGAUCACCUGAGGCAAGCACUGAGUCAGCCAUGGGAGCACAGGUGAAGGCAAUUCACCUGUGUGACGAGAAGGGGUGGAGCCUGGCUGCACCUCUCCUAGACCCCAUUUAAGGGCUGACUGCCGCUGGUGAAGGAUAUCUUUUUGGAGCUUGCUCCCUUUGGAGUUUUUCUGUGAGCCUCUGAUAUGGGUGAGCAUUUAUUUUUGAUUUUUCCUUUCUACUGCGAUAAUCUUUCUAGUUACACAUCCUGUAAAAUACCAGCUUAACCACACCACUCUGCUAAUUGUAUAUUUGUUCAUUUGUUCAUAUCAGGAUGGGUUUUACUUUUAGGCAUUAACUGUCUUUCUUAUGAUUGCAAGAGUGCGGCUCAGUUGUGUGCUUUGUCUCUCUUCUGUUAACUUGAAAGGCCAACUUAGCAUCUGUUAUGUCUACUCUAAGGAUGGUUUAGUAUACUGUCUGUAGCAGAAAUAUUAAAUCAUGGCCUAAAGCAGUGACUAAGCACCUGGUGGAAAGGCAGGGCCAACCCAGGGGAGCUCGGGUGCAAACAAUGCCUCUGAGGGCCUGGAAGGAGUAGAGCCAGGAUCCAUCCCUUUCCAGACCUCAUUUAAGGGUUGGUAGUGGAGGCAAGGGUCUGUCGCUAGAGAUCUCUGCAUACCUGAGGUCUUCUGAGGGUAAGCAGCUUUUUUCCUUUGUUUCUGUGCCCAUGGCUGUUGCAUUUGAGCAAGUCUUUUUGUACUGGCAGGCUAGGCUUUUGCUACUCUGCUGCCACUGUUGUGCCUUCCUUCACGUUACAAUAUUACAAACUACUGUAGCACUUCCUUUUUUUUUAUUAAAUAAAAGAAAGAUUUAUUGUCAUAGAAACAGCUAUUUUUCCUUGUUUAAAAAAAAAGGAAGGAAAAGUAUGCUCAUAGCUCUGCUGAAUAAAUCUGUUUUAUCGUAAAUGGAUGCGGUAUUUCUCAUGGAAUUGUUAAGAAAUUACCUUUGUAAUCCCUUUUACAUUAAAGAGAAUUUGCUGCCUUUUAUAUUUCU